rnacentral:rRNA from 1 species
UGGAUCCAGACUUUGAUUCUGGCUCAGGAUGAACGCUAGCUACAGGCUUAACACAUGCAAGUCGAGGGGAAACGAUAUUGGAAGCUUGCUUCCGAUAGGCGUCGACCGGCGCACGGGUGAGUAACGCGUAUCCAACCUGCCCACCACUUGGGGAUAACCUUGCGAAAGUAAGACUAAUACCCAAUGACGUCUCUAGAAGACAUCUGAAAGAGAUUAAAGAUUUAUCGGUGAUGGAUGGGGAUGCGUCUGAUUAGCUUGUUGGCGGGGUAACGGCCCACCAAGGCUACGAUCAGUAGGGGUUCUGAGAGGAAGGUCCCCCACAUUGGAACUGAGACACGGUCCAAACUCCUACGGGAGGCAGCAGUGAGGAAUAUUGGUCAAUGGACGAGAGUCUGAACCAGCCAAGUAGCGUGCAGGAUGACGGCCCUAUGGGUCGUAGACUGCUUUUAUAAGGGAAUAAAGUGAGUCUCGUGAGACUUUUUGCAUGUACCUUAUGAAUAAGGACCGGCUAAUUCCGUGCCAGCAGCCGCGGUAAUACGGAAGGUCCGGGCGUUAUCCGGAUUUAUUGGGUUUAAAGGGAGCGUAGGCCGGAGAUUAAGCGUGUUGUGAAAUGUAGAUGCUCAACAUCUGCACUGCAGCGCGAACUGGUUUCCUUGAGUACGCACAAAGUGGGCGGAAUUCGUGGUGUAGCGGUGAAAUGCUUAGAUAUCACGAAGAACUCCGAUUGCGAAGGCAGCUCACUGGAGCGCAACUGACGCUGAAGCUCGAAAGUGCGGGUAUCGAACAGGAUUAGAUACCCUGGUAGUCCGCACGGUAAACGAUGGAUGCCCGCUGUUGGUCUGAAUAGGUCAGCGGCCAAGCGAAAGCAUUAAGCAUCCCACCUGGGGAGUACGCCGGCAACGGUGCAACUCAAAGGAAUUGACGGA